rnacentral:rRNA from 1 species
GAUGAACGCUGGCGGCGUGCCUAAUACAUGCAAGUCGAGCGAACAGACGAGGAGCUUGUUCCUCUGACGUUAGCGGCGGACGGGUGAGUAAAACGUGGAUAACCUACCUAUAUGACUGGGAUAAUUUCGGGAAAACGGAGCUAAUACCGGAUAAUAUAUUGUACCGCAUGGUUCAAUAGUGAAAGACGGUUUUGCUGUCACUUAUAGAUGGAUCCGCGCCGCAUUAGCUAGUUGGUAAGGUAACGGCUUACCAAGGCAACGAUGCGUAGCCGACCUGAGAGGGUGAUCAGCCACACUGGAACUGAGACACGGUCCAGACUCCUACGGGAGGCAGCAGUAGGGAAUCUUCCGCAAUGGGCGAAAGCCUGACGGAGCAACACCGCGUGAGUGAUGAAGGUCUUCGGAUCGUAAAACUCUGUUGUUAGGGAAGAACAAAUGUGUAAUUAACUAUGCACGUCUUGACGGUACCUAAUCAGAAAGCCACGGCUAACUACGUG